ensembl:lncRNA
CUCGGCCGCGCUCCCUUUCUCCCUCUCUUACUUCUCCUUGUAACUUCUGUUCUGGGAAGUGGUGCCAGGAAUAACCCUGUCUGACUACAGAUCAGAAAGGCUGCUGCUUCCUCAUCCAGAAAACUGCGGCUCUGGCCUCUCUUCUCCCUCUCAAGCCCAGCUUCACCUUAUGUCUGUCGCACUGUGUACAGUAUAAGAAAAUAAAUAAAGGAAAGAGGAGCCUUGACUGUCGGGAUCUCUUCCCUCCCUCCCUCUGUCCUUAAGGAAAUGCUACCAGACACCCCCCAACCCGCACAAGCUUAGCAAGGAGCAACCUCAGCAGCAGAAACAACAAGGGCACCAGGGGGUUUUUCCUCCUCCUCUUCCUCCUCCUCCUUCUCUUCCUCCUCCACGGUGACUUUCAGGUGAGCAGCAGCUGCUGCUGUGAGGAACCCCCUUCCUCGCUCCCCUGUCAAGGUAUCCCCUCCUCCUGCCCCUGUCACUCGGAGCCGGCCAGGAGCUGACAGUCGCCGGAGGGGCUUGCGGAAGAGAGGCGGGGAGGCGGGCGGGCGGGAGGUGUGGGAGUGGAGAGGAAAGGGGGACGCCGGGGGAGUGCUGUCUUUCUUAAGAAGAGGAGGGUCUUUAAAAAAAAAAUCUUUCCUGACUGUGGCACAAGUAUUUGCCAAGUUGUGUCUUGGACGUUGAAGCUACUGGCCGCACUGGAGCAACUUACAAGGUCUUUUCCUCUCUUUCCAAAAUCCACAUACUUUGGGUUGUUGGGUGCUGCCUCGGGGUACAUUGAGGGUGUAUCCGUCAUUUGGGAAAGAAACGGUGACUAUAGGCUAGCCAUCUGAUGGUGGCUUCUUUCUCCUCCCAAGGAAGAAAAGAAUGAAGGAAGGGAGGAAGGAAGGAAGAAAAGAAGGAAGGAAAGAAGGAAGGAAAGAAGGAAGGAAGGAAGAAAGGAAGGAAGGUAGGAAGGAAGGAAGGAAGGAAGGUAGGAAGGAAGGAAGGAAGGAAGGUAGGAAGGAAGGAAGGAAGGAAGGAAGGAAGGAAGGAAGGAAGGAAGAGGGCUGACUUGAUGGAAGGUUCAGGCAGAGCGUUUUCCCUUUCCCAGUGUACUGGCUGCAGUGUUGGUUUAGUAUGGGGGUGGGGAGGGGAUAAACGGGGGCGCGUGGAGAAGGAUGGGGGCGGUUUGCAUGUGUGUUUAUGUGUGUGUUUCUGACCGGGGAUAGGAGGACAUGUGUGUUUGUGCUGUGCACUGUGGGGAUCUGUGUCUGCGCCUUUAUGUCUGUUCCCUGAAGUGGGUGGAACGUUGGCCCGUUCCGGGAAUGUUCCAUGACGUGUUGCAGCCACAGGAAGGGGGUUAACGAGGGGCUCUCGGCCGCCGCGGCAGCUUCAGCUGCUGCUUAUCAAAGCAGAUGUUGCUGCUGCUGCUGCUGCCACUGCCGCCGCCGCCGCGGCUGUCCGCUGCUCCGGCUGCUGCUGCUUAGGCUCCCUUUCCUCCUCCCCCAAUUCCUCCUUGUAUGUUUGGUGUAGGUGGAGGCAAAAUACAGAAAAACAUUGUUUCCUCGGUUUGGAUAUGUUUGUACCGUUUAUAGUGUUUAAUGGAGGAAGAAUCCAGAUCUGCUUUUAAACCUCGGCUGUUAUCGCAGAUAUCUGUAAUUUAUAUGAAUCUGUCUGUCUCUGUCUCCCUGUCUUCUCUUUCUCGAUCGGUCUCUGUCUCAGUCUCUCUUGCGCUCUCUUACAUAACACGUAUUGAGUGAAACAGAUGACAUGAGAAAAUGCUAUCCCAACAGACCUAGACUGAAUUAUAUGGAGGGAGAAAAGGUCAGAAGCUGUCAGUUGGUGUUCUCCUUCAAGGACUUAGCCCCCGAGAAAGAGAAGGGGGGGAAAGAGUAUUCUUCAAGUGGUUCCCGACGCUGUGCCUGGACUUGAAAGCAGCUUAACCAGAGGGACUGCAGAAGCCUGCCCUCUCCCUAAUGGGCGGGCUUUGGGACGUAGAGCUUGAGGAAAAUAGGGCUGGAGAAUGGGGAAUACUCUCAAGUCUCUCAUCCUUUUAACACUGGGGCUGCCGAAUAGAGAUAGGGUCCCUGAUGCAGGCACUUUCCGGAGAAGAGAAAUAGGCAGAGGAAUUCGUAGUACAGAUUGAUGAAAAGCAAAAGGAAGGCUCUAAAAUCAGUUUCAUUUAGACACUUUAGGACACCUGUAAUGCCUCAUAAUGCACACAGACAUCUAUAUGUGCACAACUGACAGGGCAAAAACCUUAUCUAUCUUUAGGCCUAAGACAGACACAAUAGGGCUUUUUUUUUUUUUUUUUAAUAGCACCUUUAUUGUAAUGGACAUUUGAACAGAUUUUCUCCUUCCUCUUCUGUCAUAAAAAUAAUUCAGUUUUACUUUUAAAUGUUAAUGCUUUUUUUUUUAAGUGGGCAAACUAUAGACUCCCAAUAAUGCACUGGACAAUUCUUCCUUAAUCCCCUUCCCUCAAUAUGCUAAAGAACAAUGGUCAGGGAUUAUUGAUUUUUUUCUUCAGUACAGUUGCUUCAUUGUACUGUAUAAUCAAGCCCAGAAAUUACUUGAAAUAUUAAUAAGAUCCAUAUUAAUUACAUUUUUACUGAUCCAGUCUCCCAGAAAAAGGAGAUUUAACUUUAUUAGAAACAUUUUCUUCUGUACUACUUAGUUUCUUUUCCCUUAGAAAACCAAAAAUCCUUUUAAAUAUUUAAUGUUUGUUUAUAUUCCUCUAAUAAAAGUUAUAAUUUUUUCACUUGACAUAAUGGCGUAGCAACAUUAUUUUAACCAAGUAGAGGCCAAAAUAUAUUUGUCUUGGGGAAUAUUUAGGAUGUAAAUAAAAUGGCUUAUCAAAAAUAUAUAUAAAACCAUAUUGCCUUUUGAUUGUUACUUGCCAAAAAUCAUGCAGUGUAUUGUUACUAUGGAGAGUAUUAAUCCUGAUACUAGAGCAUCAAGUAGAAAAAUGAAUUCAUAUUUUUAUAGUGGAAAAGAUAAGAAUGCACAGAAUAUGCAUUCCCAUCAACUUAAUAUAACAAGGUUUUUACAAGUGUCAUAAUCUUUUUUGACCACUAGGUUAGUAAUGUGCGGUAUAUUUGUGAUAUGCAGUGAAAAUUAUUGUUACAAUACUGAAUCUUCUGAGUAGGUAUACCAGUCAAUAGUUUCCUUGUCCUUGAAUUUAGGUCAGCCAUUAAACAUUGAAAAUUGAAAAGUUGUUUUUUAUCGUUCUGUUAAAUUGCUGGCCUAAUUUGAUACUAUGUUUAUACUAUGUUUAUAGUGAUAUUCCUUUUAUGGUAAGGAUUUUUAUUUGAAUUGAAGAUUAUGCAAAUAAUAGGAUUAAUAGGGAUGAAACAUUUAAAACCUCACUAAUUUUGAUUUAUUAGGCUCUCCUGGAAAUAUAUGAUGUAAUACCAUGUAAAGUAGGGAUAGUAUCUUGCAUAUAUUUGUUAAAUUUGAAAUGUAAAAAUAGAUUUACUAUAAAUUAUCAAUUAACCAAGUUAUAUUGCAUAGUUACAAUGAAAGAUUAGCCUGAAGAGUUUUUUCAUUGAUCAGACUCUCUUUAUAUGAGAUUUGUUUGCAAACCUCCUUGUUACUAUGAAAACAAAACAGAGGGCUACAUGUAUACAGGUAUUCCUUAUGGAAUAAUGGUACAUGUGUCUGCUUGAGUACUUGGCACUCUUUCACUGUUCACAAAUAGACAGGCAUCCUGAGCAGUUUCUACUUAAAAAAAAUGACUUCAAACAUAACCUUACCUGACACAGACUUAAAAUAAAUUCAGUUUGAACCUUUGACAAUGGUUACCAACUAAGAUUAGUCUUUUCAAGUAUGUGCUCUUAUGUAAAGCCGGAAAAUACACUUAUCUUACCAAACUGCUUUUCAAAAUUGAAAUAAAAACAUAUUUGGUAGAACUUUAUAUGACCUGAUUCAGUUCAAUAGAAAUUAAUGUGAAUUUUUUUCCUGUAUCUGUCUUUUUCUCCCCUUAAGUUAUAAUCAGUGACAAGAGGAUUUGAAAUUCAAGCUAUGUGGCAAAAGUCUUCAAGACUUCAACAAAAAUAAUGCAAAAAAAAAAAAAAAAAAGAAAAGAAAAGAAAAGAAAAGAAAAAGAUACUGGAAAGAAUGGUGGCAAGUCUUUGAGAAGUAAAAUUUUGUGAUAAAAUAUUAUUAUGAUUCUUGUUAUAACUGUGUGAGAAAUGAAACUUGAUGAAAGUCAACCAUUAAGCAAUGCUGAAAAAGUAAUCAUCAAAGCUAUUUUAAGUUUUAGUAUAAUAAAAAAUUUAUUAACAAAUAUUUGUAUAUUUUGGUAUACUUAUUUAGUAUCAACAGAGCAUCGUAAACUUUACUUUAGUUCCCUGUGUAGAGAAAGGGUGUGCAUUCGAAAUCAUUAUUUGACAACUACAGUGAUUAAACUUAAAAUAUCAAGUUGCUUAAAGUUCUGACAAAUUUUCAGAAGGCUGCAAAUUUGAUGUCAAUGAUAAAGCAGCAGAAGAAGGUUUGAAUUUGAUCCAAUGGACUUCAGUAUUCUUGAAUAACUUCAUACCGUAUAAUACAGAAGUACAUAUUUUAUUUUGUGGUUUAUUAGGCAAAACACCCCAUUUGGUCUUUUCUUGGCUAAAAUACUGGAGUGGUUGACCAUUUCCUUCUCCAGCUCAUUUGACAGAUAAGGAAACUGAGGCAAAAAUGGCUUAUCUAGGGUCACACAGCUAGUAAGUGUCUGAGGCUAGAAUUAAACUCACAAAGAAGAUGUCUCCCCAACUUCAGACCUGAUGCUUUCUCUGAUGUGCCACCUAGCUACCCCAAAGUUAAAUUAUCAGAAACUAAAUUGAAGGAUAUAAAACAGUCAUCCUUUUAAUAGUAAGAACUAUGAAUGGGCUUUGCAUGGAAUUGAACAGAAUAUUAUAGCUUAAGGGGAAAAGCGAAACAUAAAAUUCAAGGUGUGGUUAUUUUAAGGAGGUCAAAUAUGAUUCUGACAGGGCUCCAAAUACCUGAUCAGGCUUGUCACAUUCUAUGAUUUAAAUGAUUGUUUUUCUCAAGGUUUAUAGCAAUGCUAACAGGAAAUGGGAUGUGUAAAUAUUUAUAUUUAUAGAUGUGAAAUUAUUCUUAAUUAUUUGCAGCAUAUCUUUACCUAUUAUCAUGUCAUAAAUCACAUGGGUUGAAUAUAUGAAAGAAAGUUAUGUGGAAUGAAUGUUGGAGUCACUGAGACCAGAAUUCAAAUCUUGCCUUCUGGCUGUGUGAAGUUGGACCAUUCAUUUAUGUUCCCUAAGUAACAAUUUCCUUACUCAUCAAAUGAAGAUUAUAAUUUUUGCACUCUCUACCACACUCACUGAGUGAAAAAGAUACUUUUAUAAAACUCAAAGUGCUUUAGAAAUAGAUACUAGAAAUACCUAUAGUUUUAUUUUCUCCAGGGGAAGAACAGUUUGAUCUUAAUGAACCUUUCAGUCUUUACCUUCUCUGAGAUAAGAUAUCUGUCAGUCUUGAGCAAGUCUAUCAUAAAUAUCUUGUAUAGUCUAGAAUUUUAUUCAUGGUUGAUUUGAAUUGAGAACUAAUAAAGCUAAUAAUUUGGUAUGCAUUCUACCUGGGAGGCUCUUAAAAAUAUACUUUAUCUGAUCCUAUUAAGUUAAAAUGUGGCAACUGUGUCUAACAAUGCAAACUGAAAGUGAGAGUGGGCAAUUACUUAGUGAAUCAUUAAAUUAUAAUCUUCUUGAAAGCAAGAACUAUGUCUCAUUCUAUUUUUGCAUGUCCAUCACCAACCACAAUAUGUGGUUGAAUUGAAUGGAACCAGUAAACUCAGUCACCCAGAAUUUAGUUGUAGUAUGACAGCAGAUUUAAAGAAGAGAAGGUUAGAGUUAGACAUAACUAUCAGUAGGUUCCAAAGUCCAUGACCACUAGGGCAGGUUUCAAAAACUAUCUUCUUGAUGAAAAGUUAUCAACUUGAAUGAGUUUAGUGAUUGUGUAUAUGGGAGGGGUGUAGUCGCUUGGGGACAGUGUCUGAUGGAGUUGUUUUGGGAAGGGCAGGUAGUCAUGGGCAACAGGGAAGUUUGUUGAACUGGAAGUGUGAUCCAUCACUUCUGGGUCACAAAAAAGAGCUUGUUUUAGGAUCAAGAAGCACUUGGUCCCAAUAUCUUUGAUCUGUAGUAUAGCCCAGGACAGAUGGUAUACUCACUUUGGCUUAAUUAUGGCACUGGAGAGGAAGUAUUGUGGGAGGGCUUUGGAGGUGGAGAAGUCUAAGUUACUCUAUAUUUAGUCUGCAGCUUGCCAGUGCCAUCACCAUAGCUGGAGCUCUGCAGCUUUGGGCUCUGAGAUCUCUGAGAGCAUUGACAUAGAGUGGCUAGAAGAAUAGCAUUGUUUGCAGGCCAAAUUUGAAAGAAAUGACAAAUAAAAGAAUAAAAUUUUGGUCUCUGCCUAGGUUGGUUAUGUACAUAAAGUAUAUGGCAACCAUCAUUUAGAUAUAUCAUGCCAGCAAAAAUGGUCAAUAAUAGAUUCUUUGUGUUACCAAAAAUCUCUGUGAACUUAAAAACAACCCAGUUUUCUACAUAUGCUUUUGCCUUCAUAAUGUAAAAUGACUAGAUUUUAGAAGCUAUCUAUGCAAAGGCAUUUUCAUGACACUUCUCACCUCACCUCUGGUUCUUCUAUUCUCACUUCUUUAUACUAUCUUUCUCCCUCCUUAUCUCUCCCUUCUUUUCUCUUCUCUUUACCUUUUUUUCUCUUUUUCUUACUACUCCUUAUACAUGCAUGAUAUUUCAUUUCUUAUCUCUGUGCUUCUGUUGUCCCUGGCAGGUACUCUCCUCCUCCAUACUCCUACCUCCUAGAAUUUCUAGUUUUCUUCAAAUCUCAGCUUAACCUUCUAUAUGAACCUUUCUUGAUUCCUUUUCCUCAGAUGCUAGUGUUUUCCUUUAAAAAAAUUACCUCAUAUAGAUUUCUUAAGUACUUAUACUUGUUUAUGUCAGCUUAUUCAGUCUAAAUUGUAAGUUCCAUAAGGUCUAGAAUUGUUUCACUUUUAUCUCUAUCCCAUAGUUCCUUGAAUAUAGAAGGCACUCAAAUGUUUAUUGACUGAUUGAUUGAUUUUCAUUUUUCAUACAAUGGUUUCUUAGACACAGCUAUGGAAUAGUAGGGUAUGAUAUCAGGAAAAGGGAAGAAAUAACUUCACCAGUAAAAAAUUAUUAUAUAUUAUAUAAAUGUAAGCAUUGGGUUUUGAGAAAAGUUUAAUUUUGUUUUAAUUUAUUUCAUCAUAUUUUCAUUCAUAAUAGUUAUUAAUCUUUUACCGAGUACACUCUUCCAUCUAAGACGCAUGGGAAUUCUUCCACUUAUAUGAGUAAACAAACUUAAUUGUUUUUUAAAAAUAAAAUUUUAAAAAGAAUGGGAAAAUUCUGUGGUAAACAGUUAAAAUGUGAGGCCAAAUUCAGCAUUCAAUUUAAUGAUUGAUUUUUAAUGUGAAGCAUCAUUUAAAAACAACAGUUAAAAACUUAAUAUUCAGGAAACUUUUCCUACUCCAGAAAAUAUACACAGAAAAUAGUUCAAAUUGAUUGACAAGCAACUAAAUAUAAUUUUUGGGAUAGAAAUAGAUUUCACUACGUGCUAUCAAUUUGUGAAAAAGUUUAAGGGAUAGAAAUAUAGUUAUUAAAAGUAUUGCAAAUUACAACCUUUUUGUCACUACUUUAUAUAAAUCAUGAUUACAUUAAAUAAUUGGUCUAGUGCAGAACUAUUUGAAAUAAGAAUGCCUUAUUUGGUAAUGAUUUGGCAAAUUUUAUUUUGUUCUGAAAAGGAAAAUAGCAGAUUCAGUGAAGCUACAUUAUUUAUGUUGUCAAAGAUUCACUUUGUUUUCAAAAAAAGCUCAACAAAAAUGUUGUGCUUUUGAGCCAGGUAGCAGGUAAAGGUAGACACAACUCCGAUUUUUCCACAAUUGUUUUUAAACAGGUGUUUAAAGUCUUAAGUACAAACAACUAUAACUUAUGAUGCAAAGGUAAUUCUCAUGAAUUCUCAGAAAAAAUUUCUUUUAAAAUAAUGGGUAUGUCAAAUUCUACAUGUAUAGUUAGGAAAUAUGAAAGAUUAAUUUUAGCUAGUAAAUAGGAGCUAAUAGAUUGAAAUUAGUUUAUAUAUCCUUAAUUGAUCUGAAAAGUAUAACCUUUUUUAGUUCUUAUAUUGUAAUAAUUUUGAUAUGAAUCUAAUCUUGCAAUUAUGGAGCAGGUGACUUGUAUUCUGCAAUUAUGAUAUCAUAAGAAGAGCUAGAUGUUUUUGUUACUUCAUUGUCAGCUUUGUAAAUAUAUUAAAAAAACUAUAAUUGCCAUUUUUAUUUAACAAAAAUUAUUUCUAAAAUGCAUUUUUUCUUGAAUUUUGUAAUUUUUUGGGGCUUCAAUUCAUGACCACAGGAGACCAAGUAGAGGUAUUCAAUCAACAUAGAAAGAUGAGGGGUUCACACCUGAGGAGGUAUUGCAAUUAUAUUUUGAGGAAAAAAGAGACAGAUAUAAGAGCCUAAAGAUAGUGGAAAUGUCAAGAUUUGAAUAAAAAUAUUACAGGGAUUUGUGACAUUUGAAAUAAUUUUAAUUUUUAUUUGAAUUAUAGUAUUACAUCGUAGAGCUAUUAAUUUUUUUUCAUACUGUGUUUCUACACCUUAAAGUCAGUUUAAUUUUCUGGUUGAUUUCAUAAUUGUGGAUGAUCAAUUUAGAAAAUGAUGUCCAAUAUAUAUACUUAAUGGCUUCAAAUUAUAAACGCUGGGUGUCUAUACUGGUCACCUGAAGUGCCAAACUGAUUUCUGUCUCUUAUUGUAUUGACAGAACCAUAAAUAUACCACCUAUAGUAUGGCUUAUUUUCUUUCUAGACUUUUAAUGUUUUAUCAUUGUGCAUUAGAUCUUACUUGACAAUCCAUUCACUGUUCUACUCCCCAUUUUUCUCCAGUGAUAAGAAAUUUAGUUUCAGAGUGAAUGCCUAUCAAACCAAAUAGUGAAAUGAAUUUUUAUGACAACUACUAAUGAAAAUUACUGAAUUGUACAUUUCCUUUCUAUCAGCAGAAAAUCAUAGUCCAAUUCUCUAGAAAUUUUCAAUUUAAAUGGUAUAAAUACAUGUUUAUAUAUAUAUAUAUGUACAUAUAUAUGUGUAUAUAUACACACACGUAUGCACUUACAUAUAUUUACAUUUCACAAUGUUUGAUAAGAUGAUGAGGUGAGGGAAGCAGUAGUUCCUAGCCCUCCUUGUCACAGUCAAAUACAGGUCAAAGUUUUUCCACUCAAGUAUCACUUACCAUACUCAGUCUACAAGAUAGUCUAGAGGAAAUGACUAACUUCAAUCAUUUGUCCUCAUACAUAAAGUCAUAGUCCACAAUUGAAGCAGGAGGGCCCUGCCCUUUGGCUUUGGUAGAUUGUGACAGGCAGAGAAGGAGUGGUAAAAGGAAGCUCAGCUCAUCACAACCUUGAUAAGCUGGUUUCUUUGUAGCAAGCUUGGGGAGGGUUGUCUUUAUGCUUUAUGUCUUAUUAAAUGACCAAAAGAUUUAGACUUGGAAGGGACCUUAAAGAUCUUGAGGUCUUGUCCAAUUGGUGUGUGUGUGUGUGUGUGUGUGAAACAGAGAGAGAGAGAGAGAGAGAGAGAAAGAGAGAGAGAGGGAGGGAGAAGGGGCAAGACAUGAUUAUUUUGGCAAGAAGUCCCGAAUGGAGAAAGUAGUGUUGGAUUUGGAACCCACUGCUCUCACAUAAUAAGUGGCAUUGGUGAAAGAUGUGGAAUGGACUUUGAUGGCAUCCGUGCUCCAGAUAUAUCUCUCCCCUUUCACUCUUCCAGAGAACUAUCCCUUAUAACAAAGAACAAGAAAUAUAAAGAAAAAUUAAAACAAUAAUUCAGCAAAAUUAACCAACACCUCAAGCAUUAUGUCAUUAUAUGCAAUAUUCCCCACCUGGAGUCCCCAACCUCUGCAAAAAGGGUGGCAGGUUUGCUCUUAUUUCUCUUUUUAGGAAUGAAACAUACAUUUUCAAAAUGGUUAUUCCCAUCUUGCAUUUUUUAUUUCUUCAUCUGAAAAAUGGAGUUUUGUUUAUAACACCCUUAAGGGAUAGUAUAAUGAUUUAUGAAUGAAAAUUGAAGACCCCUUAUUUUCUAUAUGUCAUAUAACACCAUGAACUAAGAAUAAUUUGUUUUCCUGAAAAGUUCAAUAUAAAACAAUACACUUGUGAAAAGCAUUAGCAGUGUUCUUUCAAAAUAAUUGACUGCUAUCAAUAUACUUUAUUAAAGCAUAUGUUAUUGUUUUCAGAAAAAUGUUUAUUAAAUAUAAAUCUUGAAGCUACAUUUCAUGAAUAUGAAGUCUGCAUGCAUCAACAUUGCCUAUGUAUAACCAAAAUAUUAUAAGAAUCACACCUACUUUUUGAUAUGGAAAUAGAUUAAUUUCAUCCUAGAUUUUUAUUAUUGUAUUCUUAAAAUUUUUUCUUUAAAAAAAAUCCCCUAUCUUUAUAACAGAUAUACUGUGAAAUUGCUUAAUAAAGAAAUAUUAAUUAAUUUUUUUGAAUUUAUAUUGAUUAUUGAUUUGGGGUCUAUUUUUGAUAAAAGUUUAAUAAUACUUAAUCAGAUAAGGAUAGCAGAUAACCACAACAGAUAUUAAUAUUAGAUCUGAAAAACUUUUUAUGGUCAAAGCAAAUAAGCUGAAGAGCUUGAUGAAAUUAGCUUGCUGGCUUUUUUUUUUCCUUUGCAAUUUUCCUAGCUGAUGAGAAGGGAAGGGAGCAAUUAUGAAGAAUGAUUACAAAACAUGCUGAAGUUAGCAAAGUUGGUGUUAUUGAUUGCUAGCAUUUUUUGUUUUAUAUUUAUAUCCUCAGGGGUACAUUUGCAGGAUAGGGCGUUACAUAUAGGUGGUGAUUAAUAAAUGCUUGUUGGUUGGAAUUUUCUGUGUAAUUAGCAAUUGGGAAUAUAUUACUUAGCCACUGAAGUUACCCUCUGAGAUUUUAUUCAAGGAUUCUUAAAACUAUGCUAGGAAUUCACAUUAUUAUAUAAAGUGUCUUCAUAGUAACCCUAGGGGCAGGUACCAUCAUCAUCCCUAUUUUAUACAGUAGAGCCUUAGGUUCCAAGAAGUCCUGCCCAUCAUCAAAAAGUCAGUAAAUGUCCAAGGCAAAGUUUGAACUUAGACAUUUCUAACUUCUGCUGCAUCACUUUAUAUGUUUUGCCAUCUAACAUUCUUUUUUUUUUUUUUCAUUUUUUCAUUUACUUUAUUAAAAAAAUUAGAAAAAAACAAAAGAAAUACAAAAUAAAAUAAAACAAAACAAAAGAGAACAUUGCUAUGUGCCUAAUAGAGCAUCAGGGAGGAUUCAAAAUAUAUUACAACAAAUUACCAAUUCAAGAAAGUGUAUGUAUUAGUAGAAGAAAUUAUAUUCAUGAAUGUCCAUUUUUUUACUUCCUUUUAAAUGACUCUUUUGUUCUCUUCUGUCAUCUUAUUUACUUUUUUCUUUUUCCCCCCUUUUAUACCCCCCAAGCAAGUUAUAGGUAAGAAAAGAUCUAUUUAUGUAUACAUAUGUAAAUAUGUACAUAUGUAUACAUACACACAUAUAUACAUCUAUCUUUCCUAUCCCUGUUGACUCUUUGCUUUAAUUCUACUCCUUAACUUGCCUUGCUAUUAUUUAACCUCCUUGCACUCAAAGAUCCCUCCCUUGUCUUCUUCCCUCACUCUUUGCUACCCCCUCUGCUCAUUCUGUCCCCUUAUUUCUUUUUAGAUUUUGGAGGUUGCUAUAUGUAGUGUUGCCUAUUUAACCCAUUCCCUAUAUGAGUAAAUCUUCAGGUCUUCCUCCCUCCUCUAAUACCUCUGUGUCUAUUCUUCCUCUGCAUCUCAUUUGUAUAACAUCUUUUCUAUUUUUACUUUAACUCUGCUUUAAUCUUUCUUUUGAUCUACUCUAUUAUUCAUAUCAAUAUUAAGCAUAUGGUAUACAUUUCUCAUGAAAACAAAAACAAAAACAAAUCAUAAACAAUUUAUCCAUUGAGUUCUUGAAACUGAUCUUUGAUAUUGGCUGUUAUGUGUUAAAUUUUCAAUUAAAUUUAGGUUUGGUUGUUAGAAAGUCCUGAAAAUCUGCAAGUUCAUUGAAUGUCCUUUUUUUCCUGAUUUAAUGUAUAUAAUUUUGCUGGAUAUGAUAUUCUUAGUCACGGGUAUAGUUCUUUGAUUGUCAGUAGAUAUGAUUCUAGGACCUAUGGUCUUUUAUUGUAACUGCUACACAAUUGUGACUCCUGUACAAUUCCAAUUGUAGCUCCAAUGUAUUUGAAUUGUUUUUUUCUUGUUUCCUACAAAAUUUUCUCUUUGAUGUAGGGG